CUACGGGGGGCACCAGUGAGGAAUAUUGCACAAUGGGGGGAACCCUGAUGCAGCAACGCCGCGUGGAGGAUGACGCAUUUCGGUGUGUAAACUCCUUUUAUAUGUCAAGAAAAUGACGGUAGCAUACGAAUAAGCACCGGCUAACUCCGUGCCAGCAGCCGCGGUAAUACGGAGGGUGCAAGCGUUACUCGGAAUCACUGGGCGUAAAGGACGCGUAGGCGGGUUGGAAAGUCAGGUGUGAAAUCCUACAGCUUAACUGUAGAACUGCACUUGAAACUUCUAAUCUAGAGUAUGGGAGGUGGAGAUGGAAUUAGUGGUGUAGGGGUAAGAUCCGUAGAUAUCACUAGGAAUACCUAAAGCGAAGGCGAUCUCCUGGAACAUUACUGACGCUAAGGCGUGAAAGCGUGGGGAGCAAACAGGAUUAGAUACCCUCGUAGUC
rnacentral:rRNA from 1 species